UACGUAGGGUGCAAGCGUUAAUCGGAAUUACUGGGCGUAAAGCGUGCGCAGGCGGUUUUGUAAGUCUGAUGUGAAAUCCCCGGGCUCAACCUGGGAAUUGCGAUGGAGACUGCAAGGCUUGAAUCUGGCAGAGGGGGGUAGAAUUCCACGUGUAGCAGUGAAAUGCGUAGAGAUGUGGAGGAACACCGAUGGCGAAGGCAGCCCCCUGGGUCAAGAUUGACGCCCAUGCACGAAAGCGUGGGGAGCGAACAGG
rnacentral:rRNA from 1 species